AGGUGAUGAUUUCCAUUCUGCAGGCCUGGAGUACCGAGGCCAGUUCUGGUGUAUCAUUUCAGAAUUAUUUCCUGAUAUAGUACCAAUCCAUACAUUUCAGUCACGAGCUUGAAUUUAUUUCAAAUAGAAACUAAUCAAUCAACCUUCUUCUCUCUGAGAACAUAUGUAUGUAAUAUAUGCUCUCCCUGUUGCUGUGUUGCUGGCAAUUGCCUGUUAAGAUAUUGAUGACGUUUCCCCCUCCGCAGCGACAGCGACGUGCCAGACAGUUGGGUGCAGGAGUGCUAAGGAGCUGGGUGCCACAGCCCCAGAGAGCUUUGACCUCCUGUGGCCUACGACCAUGCUGCUCUUGUGUGAUGAUGUGGUGACUGAGGUUUUGUUUUUCAGCAAAAGGCAUGCUGCAGGCCUUUCAAGGUCGUGGAGAAGCUGGAAUCGUUCUGCCCGGAGUUCAGUCCAGAGAGCUCCCGUUGCUGUCUCUGUGAAAGAAGAGGAACUGGGACUCUUCCUGAGAGAGAGGUGGGGCGCAGUGAGGCAGAAGAGAGAACAGAAGGUGUGGUGGUUUUUGUUCAGAUGGG
rnacentral:lncRNA from 1 species